rnacentral:rRNA from 1 species
GCGGCGUGCCUAAUACAUGCAAGUCGAACGCUUCUUUCCUCCCGAGUGCUUGCACUCAAUUGGAAAGAGGAGUGGCGGACGGGUGAGUAACACGUGGGUAACCUACCCAUCAGAGGGGGAUAACACUUGGAAACAGGUGCUAAUACCGCAUAACAGUUUAUGCCGCAUGGCAUAAGAGUGAAAGGCGCUUUCGGGUGUCGCUGAUGGAUGGACCCGCGGUGCAUUAGCUAGUUGGUGAGGUAACGGCUCACCAAGGCCACGAUGCAUAGCCGACCUGAGAGGGUGAUCGGCCACACUGGGACUGAGACACGGCCCAGACUCCUACGGGAGGCAGCAGUAGGGAAUCUUCGGCAAUGGACGAAAGUCUGACCGAGCAACGCCGCGUGAGUGAAGAAGGUUUUCGGAUCGUAAAACUCUGUUGUUAGAGAAGAACAAGGACGUUAGUAACUGAACGUCCCCUGACGGUAUCUAACCAGAAAGCCACGGCUAACUACGUGCCAGCAGCCGCGGUAAUACGUAGGUGGCAAGCGUUGUCCGGAUUUAUUGGGCGUAAAGCGAGCGCAGGCGGUUUCUUAAGUCUGAUGUGAAAGCCCCCGGCUCAACCGGGGAGGGUCAUUGGAAACUGGGAGACUUGAGUGCAGAAGAGGAGAGUGGAAUUCCAUGUGUAGCGGUGAAAUGCGUAGAUAUAUGGAGGAACACCAGUGGCGAAGGCGGCUCUCUGGUCUGUAACUGACGCUGAGGCUCGAAAGCGUGGGGAGCAAACAGGAUUAGAUACCCUGGUAGUCCACGCCGUAAACGAUGAGUGCUAAGUGUUGGAGGGUUUCCGCCCUUCAGUGCUGCAGCAAACGCAUUAAGCACUCCGCCUGGGGAGUACGACCGCAAGGUUGAAACUCAAAGGAAUUGACGGGGGCCCGCACAAGCGGUGGUGCAUGUGGUUUAAUUCGAAGCAACGCGAAGAACCUUACCAGGUCUUGACAUCCUUUGACCACUCUAGAGAUAGAGCUUUCCCUUCGGGGACAAAGUGACAGGUGGUGCAUGGUUGUCGUCAGCUCGUGUCGUGAGAUGUUGGGUUAAGUCCCGCAACGAGCGCAACCCUUAUUGUUAGUUGCCAUCAUUUAGUUGGGCACUCUAGCGAGACUGCCGGUGACAAACCGGAGGAAGGUGGGGAUGACGUCAAAUCAUCAUGCCCCUUAUGACCUGGGCUACACACGUGCUACAAUGGGAAGUACAACGAGUCGCUAGACCGCGAGGUCAUGCAAAUCUCUUAAAGCUUCUCUCAGUUCGGAUUGCAGGCUGCAACUCGCCUGCAUGAAGCCGGAAUCGCUAGUAAUCGCGGAUCAGCACGCCGCGGUGAAUACGUUCCCGGGCCUUGUACACACCGCCCGUCACACCACGAGAGUUUGUAACACCCGAAGUCGGUGAGGUAACCUUUUUGGAGCCAGCCGCCUAAGGUGGGAUAGAUGAUUGGGGUGAA